rnacentral:rRNA from 1 species
GCCUGAUCCAGCCAUGCCGCGUGCAGGAUGAAGGCCUUCGGGUUGUAAACUGCUUUUGUACGGAACGAAAAAGACUCUCUCUAAUACAGGGGGUGAAUGACGGUACCGUAAGAAUAAGCACCGGCUAACUACGUGCCAGCAGCCGCGGUAAUACGUAGGGUGCAAGCGUUAAUCGGAAUUACUGGGCGUAAAGCGUGCGCAGGCGGUUAUGUAAGACAGAGGUGAAAUCCCCGGGCUCAACCUGGGAACUGCCUUUGUGACUGCAUAGCUGGAGUGCGGCAGAGGGGGAUGGAAUUCCGCGUGUAGCAGUGAAAUGCGUAGAUAUGCGGAGGAACACCGAUGGCGAAGGCAAUCCCCUGGGCCUGCACUGACGCUCAUGCACGAAAGCGUGGGGAGCAAACAGGAUUAGAUACCCUGGUAGUCCACGCCCUAAACGAUGUCAACUGGUUGUUGGGUCUUCACUGACUCAGUAACGAAGCUAACGCGUGAAGUUCGACCGCCGUGGGGAGUACGGCCGCAAGGUU